rnacentral:rRNA from 1 species
UACGGGGGAGCAAGCGUUGUUCGGAUUUACUGGCGUAAAGGGCGCGUAGGCGGCACCGCAAGUCGACUGUGAAAUCUCCGGGCUUAACUCGGAAAGGUCAGCCGAUACUGCGGGCUAGAGUGCAGAAGGGGCAACUGGAAUUCUCGGUGUAGCGGUGAAAUGCGUAGAUAUCGAGAGGAACACCUGCGGCGAAGGCGGUGCCUGGAGCUUGCUGACGCUGAUGCGCGAAGCGUGGGGAGCGAUCGG